CAGUCGCCGCGGGAAUACGAAGGGGGCUAGCGUUACUCGAAAUUACUGGGCGUAAAGGGCGCGUAGGCGGCACGAUUAGUCAGGCGUGAAAUUCCUGGGCUCAACCUGGGGACUGCGCUUGAUACGGUCGAGCUAGAGGAUGGAAGAGGGUCGUGGAAUUCCCAGUGUAGAGGUGAAAUUCGUAGAUAUUGGGAAGAACACCGGUGGCGAAGGCGGCGACCUGGUCCAUUACUGACGCUGAGGCGCGACAGCGUGGGGAGCAAACAGGAUUAGAUACCCCUGUAGUCCCUGUCUCUUAUAC
rnacentral:rRNA from 1 species